GUCUUUUUGUGUUGGAUAUAAAGUAUAACCUGCCCAUUGAAAUUAUUUUAAAGGCUGCGGUAUAUUGACCGUACAAAGGUAGCAUAAUCAUUAGUUCUUUAAUUGAGAACUCGUAUGAAUGGUUGAAUGAGGAAUAAACUUUUUUAGAAAAAGAAUUGAAUUUUACAUUUUAAUUAAAAGGUUAAAAUGAAUUUAAAAGACGAGAAGACCCUAUAGAGUUUGAUAAUUUAUUAAAAUUUUUUAAAAAAAAUUAGUAAGUGUUUUAUUUUAAUAAAUUAUUUUAUUGGGGUGAUAGUAAAAUUUUAUAAACUUUUAUUUUUUUUUUACAUUAAUAUAUGAUUAAUUGAUCCAUUAUUAAUGAUUAAAAGUUUAAAUUACCUUAGGGAUAACAGCGUAAUUUUUUUUUUAAGUUCAUAUUAAUAAAAAAUUUUGCGACCUCGAUGUUGGAUUAAGAUUUAAUUUUAGGUGCAGAAGUUUAAAAUUAGAGUCUGUUCGACUUUUAAAUUCUU
rnacentral:rRNA from 1 species